rnacentral:rRNA from 1 species
UUUAACUGAAGAGUUUGAUCAUGGCUCAGAUUGAACGCUGGCGGCAGGCUUAACACAUGCAAGUCGAGCGGAGAGAGGUAGCUUGCUACUGAUCUUAGCGGCGGACGGGUGAGUAAUGCUUAGGAAUCUGCCUAUUAGUGGGGGACAACAUCUCGAAAGGGAUGCUAAUACCGCAUACGUCCUACGGGAGAAAGCAGGGGAUCUUCGGACCUUGCGCUAAUAGAUGAGCCUAAGUCGGAUUAGCUAGUUGGUGGGGUAAAGGCCUACCAAGGCGACGAUCUGUAGCGGGUCUGAGAGGAUGAUCCGCCACACUGGGACUGAGACACGGCCCAGACUCCUACGGGAGGCAGCAGUGGGGAAUAUUGGACAAUGGGGGGAACCCUGAUCCAGCCAUGCCGCGUGUGUGAAGAAGGCCUUAUGGUUGUAAAGCACUUUAAGCGAGGAGGAGGCUACUUUAGUUAAUACCUAGAGAUAGUGGACGUUACUCGCAGAAUAAGCACCGGCUAACUCUGUGCCAGCAGCCGCGGUAAUACAGAGGGUGCAAGCGUUAAUCGGAUUUACUGGGCGUAAAGCGCGCGUAGGCGGCUAAUUAAGUCAAAUGUGAAAUCCCCGAGCUUAACUUGGGAAUUGCAUUCGAUACUGGUUAGCUAGAGUGUGGGAGAGGAUGGUAGAAUUCCAGGUGUAGCGGUGAAAUGCGUAGAGAUCUGGAGGAAUACCGAUGGCGAAGGCAGCCAUCUGGCCUAACACUGACGCUGAGGUGCGAAAGCAUGGGGAGCAAACAGGAUUAGAUACCCUGGUAGUCCAUGCCGUAAACGAUGUCUACUAGCCGUUGGGGCCUUUGAGGCUUUAGUGGCGCAGCUAACGCGAUAAGUAGACCGCCUGGGGAGUACGGUCGCAAGACUAAAACUCAAAUGAAUUGACGGGGGCCCGCACAAGCGGUGGAGCAUGUGGUUUAAUUCGAUGCAACGCGAAGAACCUUACCUGGCCUUGACAUCCAGAGAACUUAGCAGAGAUGCUUUGGUGCCUUCGGGAACUCUGAGACAGGUGCUGCAUGGCUGUCGUCAGCUCGUGUUGUGAAAUGUUGGGUUAAGUCCCGCAACGAGCGCAACCCUUAUCCUUUGUUGCCAGCGG